rnacentral:rRNA from 1 species
UACGUAGGUGGCAAGCGUUGUCCGGAAUUAUUGGGCGUAAAGCGCGCGCAGGUGGUUUCUUAAGUCUGAUGUGAAAGCCCACGGCUCAACCGUGGAGGGUCAUUGGAAACUGGGGAACUUGAGUGCAGGAGAGAAGAGUGGAAUUCCACGUGUAGCGGUGAAAUGCGUAGAGAUGUGGAGGAACACCAGUGGCGAAGGCGGGUCUCUGGGCCGGUACUGACGCUGAGGUGCGAAAGCGUGGGGAGCAAACAGG